rnacentral:rRNA from 1 species
GGAGUGGACGCAUCACUGGUGUUCGGGUUGUCAUGCCAAUGGCACUGCCCGGUAGCUAAAUGCGGAAGAGAUAAGUGCUGAAAGCAUCUAAGCACGAAACUUGCCCCGAGAUGAGUUCUCCCUGAGACUAUAAGUCUCCUGAAGGAACGUUAAAGACGAUGACGUUGAUAGGCCGGGUGUGUAAGCGCAGCGAUGCGUUGAGCUAACCGGUACUAAUGAACCGUGAGGCUUAACCUUAC